CCCAAGGACACAGCAAGAAGGUGUCAUUUAUGAAACAGAACGUGAGCAUUCCCCAAACACCAAAUUUGCUGGUGCCUCGAUGUUGGACUUUUGAGCCUCCAUAACUGAUGGAGUCUCACUCUAUCGCCCAGGCUGGAGUGCAAUGGUGUGAUCUCAUCUCACUGCAACCUCCACCUCCCAGGUUCAAACGAUUCUCCUGCCUCAGCAUCCUGAGUAGCUGGGAUUACAGGCAUGUGCCACUACGCCCAGCUAAUUUUUUAUUUUUAGUAGAGACGAGGUUUCUCCAUGUUAGUCAGUCUGGUCUCAAACUACUGACCUCAUGUGAUUCACUCACCUUGGCCUCCCAAAGUGCUGGGAUUACAGGCGUGAGCCACCGCUCCCAGACGACAAGUACUCUUGAAUAGAGGUUUCUGAUGACUUUGGAGGUUACAUUAUCGGACUAAGUCAAAACUUUCCAAACUCUACUAAACUUUAUGUGUUCAUGAAGAUUGCUAACCUAACAUCAAGCAAAACAACAAUUAAUUACAUCAAACUGAGAUGAUAAACAACUGAAAUAAUAUUUUUGACUUUUUGUUUGAAACAUUACUGAGUCUUUGAACAUUUUGUUUUCUAAAGAAAACUUUUUGAGCUCUUUAUAGCAUAUAGAAAUUGUGUAAAAUAUACCCA
rnacentral:lncRNA from 1 species